rnacentral:rRNA from 1 species
AUGGCAUCACCAAACAGAGCUUUGAACCCAUCAGUUAUUUCUGGGCUCCUGAACUCAAUUGAGCACCUCAAUGGGACUAACUUUCCUACCUGGAAGGAGCAGAUUUUGAUUAACCUUGGUGUCAUGGACCUUGAUUAUGCACUUAGGGAAAAAGCUCCAGUUCCUUUGUCCUCUGAUGAUGAAAACCUUGCUGAGAGAACUAAGGUUUAUGAGGCUAAUAAGGAGAAGUGGGAGCGCUCCAAUCGCUUGUCUAUCAUGAUCAUGAAAAGCACAAUUACUCUUGGGAUUAGGGGAGCAAUCCCUGAUUCUGAAUGUGCUAAGACUUAUCUAGCGUCGAUGGAGGAGCAAUUUAAAGGCUCAACAAAAGUCUACGCUAGUACGUUGAUCAUGAAAAUGCUCACCACUAAGUAUGAUGGUAAAAGCGGCGUGAGAGAACAUAUCAUGACUAUGAAUGAUAUGGCCGCAAAAUUAAAGGGCAUGGACAUGGAGAUUUCUGAGGGCUUUCUGGUUCACUUCAUUAUGACUUCUCUUCCUAUGGAGUAUGGUCCCUUCAAGAUUAAUUAUAAUACUCAGAAGGAGAAGUGGACCAUGAGUGAGCUCACAUCUAUGUGCGUUCAAGAAGAAGAGCGGCUUAAGGUUGAAAGGAUAGAUUAUGCUCAUCUUACUUCCAUAAACUUAGGGAAAAGAAAGUCUCAGGGUGAUGGGAAAACUAAGAAGAAGAUGAACUUCUCUAAUAUUGAUGCAAGCAAGCUAGGGAACUCUGGCACCAAGGACAUCGCUACAGAGCCUAAGGGUCCUAAGUGUCGUUUCUGCAAGGAAGAUGGGCAUGUCAUGAAAGAAUGUGAUGGCUUUAAGGCAUGGCUUGCUAAGAAGGGGAUUCCAUUUCGUGAGGACGCUGAAAAAGAUGGAUCAAAGCCUUAG